UAGCGAUGCAUUCUGUGCAUUCCGUACAGUGUGCACGGUGAUUCCGGAUCUUCCUUUGUUCUCGCAGCCGCGGCUGCCCCGCCCCUUCCCCGGCCUCUGCCCCUGCUAUUCUGCUUGCCAGCUGGCCGAUCCCAAAGCUUCUCGCUCGCAGGCUGCGCUGGAGGACGUAAUUACGACUACCUGCCUUGGUGCCAAAAGAAAACUGGAAAACUGCCCCUGCCGGGAUGAGGCCCUCCUGCAAAGCUCAGCAGCCAAUUGGUUUGGAGGGAGGAGCCAAGAUGGCAGAGAGGAAUGGAGCUCUAUAACCUUCGUCCACCCCAUCUAUUGA
rnacentral:lncRNA from 1 species